rnacentral:rRNA from 1 species
UUAGGAAUUUUGCACAAUGGCCGAAAGGCUGAUGCAGCAACGCCGCGUGGGGGAAGAAGGUCUUCGGAUCGUAAACCUCUUUUCCAGGGGAAGAUAGUGACGGUACCCUGGGAAUAAGCCCCGGCUAACUACGUGCCAGCAGCCGCGGUAAUACGUAGGGGGCGAGCGUUGUCCGGAUUAAUUGGGCGUAAAGAGCGCGUAGGCGGCUCUUCAAGUCGUGCGUGAAAUACUCCGGCUCAACUGGAGUGGGUCGUGCGAUACUGAGGGGCGUGAGGUGGGAAGGAGAAAGUGGAAUUCCCGGUGGAGGGGUGGAAGGCGUAGGUAUACGGAGGAACAGCAGUGGCGAAAGCGGAGACAUGGCCGAUUACUGACGAUCAGACGCGAAAGC